rnacentral:lncRNA from 1 species
AACAGUUACAUUCUUGGGUUUCUCGUCUUGUUCAGUUGCUAGCAGUUUUUAUUCUUCCUUUUGUCGUGGCAUCAAAAUCUGAGUUUUGAGCUAGAUGUCCUGUUAACCUGUGAUGCAGUGGGAUAACUUUCGUAUUUGUGUUGCAAGACUAAUUUCCAUGUUAUCAAAGUUUACUUCACAAAAUUGGGCAAGUAUCUUUCUCGUUUACAGAUUUCACUCAGGUACUUUGUCGAUAUCUUCUUUUGUUGCUUCAUCAUGGGGCUAGCAGCCUUUAAAUGGAACUGUGCUCCUUCAGGAAGUCUUUCCUCCAUUAAAGUAGGUACUUUUCAUUUCCAAUAUGUGGUGAAGGCUCUGAUAUGUCGGCGAAUGCAUUUCACCGUCAUCAAGGAGUUGUAGCUGCAGGCAGUAAUAUCUGGAUCAGAAGAAUAUUGAAUAGAGUAGUAGAUGAUGAGUAGCAACAGAACACUGUUGUAAUAACCGCAAGUGAAUAUGAUGGAUGAAUUGUCAAAGAUUAUCAAUAGGCAUUAUAAUUUGAUCUGAGACUCUGAUUCAAGAUGUAGGCAACUUGGAGGUAUUGGAUUAAUUUGGAAGUUACAUGUUAUAAUGGCUUUGAAGGAAAAUGUUACAUUUGACAUCCUGUUAUGUAUUCAUGUAAAUAAACCUUCAGUUGGUUGAAUUUAUUAUGUGCUGGCUCGCUGUAAUCCUGGCUCUUCUAAUGCAAAUCAUCUCAUAGAAUGGAGAGUGAUGCACAUAGCUGAGUUAUCAUAUCGAUUUGUAUAGCUUAGGCCAAGGAUGGAUUCAGCUGGUCUGCUUCAUGUCUUUGCAUGUCUUGCGUUGUCCCUUCCGAAUCUGAACCAUCCUUUACCUCACGAUGAAAGCCUAAUUAUGAUUGACUGACUCAUUGAGCAUGCUAGUGACUCAAAGUCUGUACCGUUGAGGCUCGGUUAACAAAAUUGAAAAAGAAAUGAAGUGAGAGAAGUUACUAUGUAAAUCUGAAAUUGCGAUCAAUUGAAUCAUUAUCCUGGAUGAUCAAUGAAUCUUAUUAAAAAUUGCAAUAGAUAAAAAUGAAUGUAAAAGAAAAGAGAAGCCAUAUGAUGAAACCACCUAACAAAACCUCGAAGGGAAGAGAAAUUAUGGGAGUGGAGGUGAAAUUGGCUUGGGAAAUUCUGACAUAAAAUUGUAAUUUCAAAUGAAGGAAAUCUCUCUCUCUCUCUCUCUCUCUCUCUCUCUCUCUCUUUCUCACACACGCAUAUGCACACACGCACGUGCGGCCGCACACCAUG